rnacentral:rRNA from 1 species
ACUCCUACGGGAGGCAGCAGUAACGUAUGUACCGCAAUGCCGGAUAGCGUGACGGAGCAAUGCGGCGUGCAGGAUGUUGCCCUUCGGGGUGUAUACUGCUGUCAGGGUUUAGGAAGAAAGUGACCAAACGCAAAGGAUGAGACGACUAACUCUGUGCCAGCAGCGGCGGUA